rnacentral:rRNA from 1 species
ACUGGGGCUAAUUCUCGAUAGGCGAAGAACUCUGGAAUGAGUCUUCACCCAAAAGACGCUUAGAUCAUGCUUCUAGACGUCGCCCAAGGAUGGGGCCGCGGCCGAUCAGGUUGUUGGUGAGGUAAUGGCUCACCAAGCCUUUAACCGGUGCGGGCCGUGGGAGCGGGAGCCCGGAGAUGGGCACUGAGACAAGGGCCCAGGCCCUACGGGGCGCAGCAGUCGCGAAAACUUUGCAAUAAGCGAAAGCUUGACAGGGCUAUCCCGAGUGCCAUCCGCUGAGGAAGGCUUUUACCCAGUCUAGUAAGCUGGGGGAAUAAGGAGAGGGCAAGUCUGGUGUCAGCCGCCGCGGUAAUACCAGCUCUCCGAGUGGUGUGGAUGUUUAUUGGGCCUAAAGCAUCCGUAGCUGGCUGAGUUAGUCCCCUGUUAAAUCCACCGAAUCAAUCGUUGGAUUGCGGGGGAUACUGCUCGGCUAGGGGACGGGAGAGGCAGACGGUAUUUCCGGGGUAGGGGUGAAAUCCUAUAAUCCCGGGAAGACCACCAGUGGCGAAGGCUGUCUGCUAGAACGCGCCCGACGGUGAGGGAUGAAAGCUGGGGUAGCGAACCGGAUUAGAUACCCGGGUAGUCCCAGCUGUAAACGAUGCAGGCUAGGUGUUUGGGCGGCCACGUGCCGCUCUAGUGCCGCAGGGAAGCUGUUAAGCCUGCCGCCUGGGGAGUACGAUCGCAAGAUUGAAAC